CGUCAAAGCUUAAUUAAUUCUUAUUCAAAUAAUUUCUUAAAAUUCUUAAAACCCCUCAACAGUACUGAAUGAUACUAUAUUUUUAUAGAACCCCUUAUGUUAAAACUAGUAACAAGAAAUCACCUUCUCUUAUUAUGCAAGUGUAAAUCAGAACAGAAUAUGCUACUGAUCCCUAACAGAUUUAAAUUAAAGUAGAAACCCGCCCAGAAAACUCUACUAAAACAACUGUUAAUCUUACACUAGAGUAUACAAAGAAAGAUUAAAAGAAAAAGAAGGAACUCGGCAAACCCUGAUUCCGCCUGUUUACCAAAAACAUCGCCUCCUGCUAACCUAUAGGAGGUCCAGCCUGCCCAGUGACCUAGUUUAACGGCCGCGGUAUCCUAACCGUGCGAAGGUAGCGUAAUCACCUGUUUUUUAAUUGAAGACCUGUAUGAAAGGCAUCACGAGAAUCACACUGUCUCCCUUUUCUAAUCAGUGAAACUAAUCUCCCCGUGAAAAAGCGGGGAUACCUACACAAGACGAGAAGACCCUAUGGAGCUUAAGACAAAGUAACAUUUUGCCCACUUCUUUAAUAUCUAUUUCCGACAGCAUUUAUUUACAAGUCUUUGGUUGGGGCAACCGCGGAGUAAAAAAUAACCUCCAAGAUGAACGGAAUUUUCCUAAACAAUAAGCCACAACUUUAUGUAUCAACAAAUUGACAUUAUGACCCAAUAUUUUGAUUAUCGAACCAAGUUACCCUAGGGAUAACAGCGCAAUCCACUUCAAGAGUUCAUAUCGACAAGUGGGCUUACGACCUCG
rnacentral:rRNA from 1 species